UCAGGACGAACGCUGGCGGCGUGCUUAACACAUGCAAGUCGCACGAGGACCGGAGUGCUUGCACUCUGUAGCCGAGUGGCGGACGGGUGAGUAACACGUGACCAACUUGUCUUCAGGCGGGGGACAACCUGGGGAAACCGGGGCUAAUACCGCAUAAUGUCUCCCCUCCGCAUGGUAGGGAGAUCAAAGAGGCCUCUGCUUGCAAGCCUUCACUUGAAGAGGGGGUCGCGGCGUAUCAGCUUGUUGGUGAGGUAACGGCUCACCAAGGCAAUGACGCGUAGCGGGUCUGAGAGGACGAUCCGUCACAUUGGGACUGAGAUACGGCCCAGACUCCUACGGGAGGCAGCAGUGGGGAAUAUUGCGCAAUGGCCGAAAGGCUGACGCAGCGACGCCGCGUGUGGGAGGAAGCCCUUCGGGGUGUAAACCACUGUCAGAGGGGAAGAAACCCGGGCGUCUGAAUAAGGCGUUCGAUUGACGGUACCUUCAAAGGAAGCGCCGGCUAACUCCGUGCCAGCAGCCGCGGUAAGACGGAGGGCGCAAGCGUUGUUCGGAAUUACUGGGCGUAAAGCGCACGCAGGCGGCCUGUUAAGUCCUUUGUGAAAGCCCGGGGCUCAACCCCGGAAUUGCAUCGGAUACUGGCAGGCUAGAGAUCGGUAGAGGCUAGCGGAAUUCCUGGUGUAGCGGUGGAAUGCGUAGAUAUCAGGAAGAACACCUGUGGCGAAGGCGGCUAGCUGGGCCGAUUCUGACGCUCAUGUGCGAAAGCGUGGGGAGCAAACAGGAUUAGAUACCCUGGUAGUCCACGCCGUAAACGAUGGGCACUAGAUGCCGGGCAUAUAGACGUGUUCGGUGUCGCAGCCAACGCAUUAAGUGCCCCGCCUUGGGGAUUACGGCCGCAAGGCUGAAACUCAAAGGAAUUGACGGGGGCCCGCACAAGCGGUGGAGCAAUGUGGUUUAAUUCGAAGCAACGCGAAGAACCUUACCUGGGCUUGACAUCUUGGUGAAAAGGCUUCGCUGGGAAACCAGGACGUCUUCGGGACACCAUGACAGUGUGCAUGGGCUGUCGUCCAGCUCGUUCGUGAGAUGUUGGUUAAGUCCCGCAACGAGCACCUGCCUAUUGCCACGGUUCGGCCGGGGACUCAUGGGGAACUGCCGUGAUAAACCGGAGGAAGGUGGGGACGACGUCAAGUCAAUUCAUGGCCCUACGUCCAGGGCUACACACGUGCUACAAUGGCCGGUACAAAGGCUGCGAACCCGCGAGGGGGAGCGAAUCCCAAAAGCCGUUAAGUUCAGAUGCAGUCUGCAACCCGACUGCAUGAAGUCGGAAUCGCUAGUAAUCGUGCAUCAGCCAUGGCACGGUGAAUACGUUCCCGGGCCUUGUACACACCGCCCGUCACGCCAUGGAAGCCGGGAGUGCCCGAAGUCCGUGACCCAACCUUUGGAGGGAGCGGCCGAAG
rnacentral:rRNA from 1 species